rnacentral:rRNA from 1 species
GAUCCUGGCUCAGGACGAACGCUGGCGGCGCGCCUAACACAUGCAAGUCGAACGAGAGAUGAGGAGCUUGCUCUUCAAAUCGAGUGGCGAACGGGUGAGUAACGCGUGAGGAACCUGCCUCAAAGAGGGGGACAACAGUUGGAAACGACUGCUAAUACCGCAUACGAUCUAAACUCGGCAUCGAGGAUAGAUGAAAGGUGGCCUCUACAUGUAAGCUAUCACUGAAGGAGGGGA